rnacentral:rRNA from 1 species
CUACGGGUGGCAGCAGUAGGGAAUCUUGGGCAAUGGGCGAAAGCCUGACCCAGCGACACCGCGUGGAUGAAGAAGGCCUUCGGGUUGUAAAGUCCUUACAGGUAUUAAGAAAGGUAUUCGGUUAACACCCGGAUGCUUUGACAAAGGUACCAGAUGAAGUCAUGGCUAACUCUGUGCCAGCAGCCGCGGUAAUACAGAGAUGACAACCGUUGUUCGGAAUCACUGGGCUAAAAGAGCACGUAGGCGGAAUGUUAAGUCGGUUGUGAAAUCUCACGGCUCACCCGUGAGCGGUCAACCGAUACUGGCCUUCUAGAGGCAGGUAGGGGAGAGUGGAAUUCCUGGUGGAGCGGUGAAAUGCGUUGAUAUCAGGAGGAACGUCGGAGGCGUAGGCGACUCUCUGAACCUGUCCUGACGCUGAGGUGCGAAAGCCAGGGGAGCAAACGGGAUUAGAUACCCCCGUAGUC